AUACGGAGGAUCCGAGCGUUAUCCGGAUUUAUUGGGUUUAAAGGGAGCGUAGGUGGAUUGUUAAGUCAGUUGUGAAAGUUUGCGGCUCAACCGUAAAAUUGCAGUUGAAACUGGGAGUCUUGAGUACAGUAGAGGUGGGCGGAAUUCGUGGUGUAGCGGUGAAAUGCUUAGAUAUCACGAAGAACUCCGAUUGCGAAGGCAGCUCACUAGACUGUCACUGACACUGAUGCUCGAAAGUGUGGGUAUCAAACAGGAUUAGAUACCCUGGUAGUCCACACAGUAAACGAUGAAUACUCGCUGUUUGCGAUAUACAGUAAGCGGCCAAGCGAAAGCAUUAAGUAUUCCACCUGGGGAGUACACCGGCAACGGUGAAACUCAAAUGAAUUGACGGGG
rnacentral:rRNA from 1 species